rnacentral:rRNA from 1 species
GGGUGGUAAUGCCGGAUGUUCCACAUGAUCGCAUGUGAUUGUGGGAAAGAUUCUAUCGGCGUGGGAUGGGGUCGCGUCCUAUCAGCUUGUUGGUGAGGUAACGGCUCACCAAGGCUUCGACGGGUAGCCGGCCUGAGAGGGCGACCGGCCACAUUGGGACUGAGAUACGGCCCAGACUCCUACGGGAGGCAGCAGUGGGGAAUAUUGCACAAUGGGCGCAAGCCUGAUGCAGCGACGCCGCGUGAGGGAUGGAGGCCUUCGGGUUGUAAACCUCUUUUGUUUGGGAGCAAGCCUUCGGGUGAGUGUACCUUUCGAAUAAGCGCCGGCUAACUACGUGCCAGCAGCCGCGGUAAUACGUAGGGCGCAAGCGUUAUCCGGAUUUAUUGGGCGUAAAGGGCUCGUAGGCGGCUCGUCGCGUCCGGUGUGAAAGUCCAUCGCUUAACGGUGGAUCUGCGCCGGGUACGGGCGGGCUGGAGUGCGGUAGGGGAGACUGGAAUUCCCGGUGUAACGGUGGAAUGUGUAGAUAUCGAGAAGAAACACC